AUGCAAGGCAGGGGCAACCUCAAACACACUCUCCCUUCCCUUUAUGGCUGGAAUAAAUGGGGCUGGAAUUGCGUGGAGACCAAUCCCUUCUGGUGGUGACCUGGGCCAUCCUUUUGGAAAUGUGUGUGUCAGCUUCUGCAUAAGAUCCAGAGUGCCCCAGGAGAAAGCCAAGGCCAUAAGAAGCAGCAGAGCCCCAUUCAGAUUCACCAUCCCCUCCUCUGAAUUUGAUAACUCAGCACAAUUCCCCAAACUAGGGAACUGAUGGCUUAGCUGUGACUGUCCAUCAGUGACUCACCAAGGACAUCGACCAGCUGGCCAGGGAGGGGAUUUACCAGCUUUACAAACAGCUGCUGCACCAGAGGCUAACAGCAGCUGGGAAGAUCAAAGGGCUGGGACACAGAGGGCAAGACUGCUAAGGAGGAGCGAGCAGGCAGGAGAAAGGAACUCCAGUCCGUAGAUUGCUAGAGAGUCAUCCAGGGACAGGCUCCCAGCAAGGGGGAAGGAGGCCAACAGACCAAACCCCCUGACAGGCCUGAGCACAGAGUGGAUUUUUGAGCAAGGGGAGUGGAUUGACAGCUCCACUGAUAUGAGUGAGCCAGAGCCACAUACUUCCCCCUCCCAUGUGGCUGGGGGAAGCACCUUUGAACUGACGCACCAACUCCCAGAAUGAGACAGAGGAGAGACUGACCUGGGGAGAUGCUGAAGAAGGGUGCAGCAGACAUCUUGGCUGCAGGAGAGAUUGUGCUAGCAGCAGCUGCCCCAGGCCUGAGAGCAGGGGCCAGCCUUUGCUAAGACUGCAGACCCCUUUACUCUAAUAUCUGGAGGAUCAUGGGUGAGGCUGUAUGCUCACUGGAGAGGAAGGGCCCAGGCUCCCAUGCUACCCACCCAUUUAAUGGAAGGGACCUAGACCCCUUUUUCCUCUACUGGGGAGGAGAGAGGGUAGAGACAUGAUAAGCCCUGAGCCGUUCGCGGGAACCAGAGAUGGGUUGCAGACCUUUUCUUCUGUGGGGGAGUUAGGCUGUAAAUCAUGUUGUACUCUGUUAAUUUGGAAUUCAGUUGAUGAACUGGAUGGAUGGCCAAGGCCUCAGAUCCCCAUUAUAAUACUGGAGCUGGCAUAUGGGAGGCAACUCCACUGGAUCCUGGAUCUCCUCCACAAGGCAUGGGAAGAGGCAUGCCCAGGAACAACCGUGAUACAAUACAUGUUCUGUCAGAGGGAAAACUUGGAGCCCCUGCAGGUUUGUUGUGGGAGAGUGUGCUGAAAUCUCAGAACCAGGAAAAGGCUGAUAACAAUGGGCCAGAAUGUGAAAAUUUAA